AGGGAUAUUCAUAGAGAGAGGAUAGUAAUAGAGAGAGAGGAUAGUAAUAGAGAGAUAGGAUAGUAAUAGAGAGAGAGGAUAGUAAUAGGGACAGAGGGAUAGUAAUAGAGAGAGAGGAUAGUAAUAGAGAUAGAGGAUAGUAAUAGAGAGAGAGGGAUAUAAUAGAGAGAGAGGGAUAGUAAUAGAGAGAGAGGGAUAUUCAUAGAGAGAGAGGAAUAGUAAUAGAGAGAGACUGGGGAUAGUAAUAGAGAGAUAGGGAUAGUAAAAGAGAGAGAGAGGUGGGAUAGUAAUAAAGAGAUAGGGAUAGUAGUAGAGAGAGAGGGAUAGUAAUAGAGAUAGGGAUAGUAAUAGAGAGAGAGGAUAGUAAUAGAGAGAGAGGAUAGUAAUAGAGAGAGAGGAUAGUAAUAGAGAGAGAGGGAUAGUAAUAGAGAGAGAGGGAUAGUAAUAGAGAGAGAGGAUAGUAAUAGAGAGAGAGGAUAGUAAUAGAGAGAGAGGAUAGUAUUAGAGAGAGAGGAGGGAUAGUAAUAGAGAGAGAGGUGGGAUAGUAAUAAAGAGAUAGGGAUAGUAAUAGAGAGAGGGAUAGUAAUGUAGAGAGAGGAUAGUAAUGGAGAGAGGGGGAUAGUAAUAGAGAAAGAUGGAUAGUAAUAGAGAGAGAGGAUAGUAAUAGAGAGAGAGGGAUAGUAAUAGAGAGAGAGGGGAUAGUAAUAGAGAGAGGGGAUAGUAAUAGAGAGAGGGAUAGUAAUAAAGAGAUAGGGAUAUAAUAGAGAGAGAGGGAUAGUAAUAGAGAGAGAAGGAUAGUAAUAGAG
rnacentral:lncRNA from 1 species